CCUACGGGGGGCUGCAGUGAGGAAUAUUGGUCAAUGGACGAGAGUCUGAACCAGCCAAGUAGCGUGAAGGAUGACUGCCCUAUGGGUUGUAAACUUCUUUUAUAAAGGAAUAAAACGAGGCACGUGUGCCUUUUUGCAUGUACUUUAUGAAUAAGGAUCGGCUAACUCCGUGCCAGCAGCCGCGGUAAUACGGAGGAUCCGAGCGUUAUCCGGAUUUAUUUGGUUUAAGGGGAGCGUAGAUGGGUUGUUAAGUCAGUUGUGAAAGUUUGCGGCUCAACCGUAAAAUUGCAAUUGAUACUGGCAGUCUUGAGUACAGUUGAGGUAGGCGGAAUUCGUGGUGUAGCGGUGAAAUGCUUAGAUAUCACGAAGAACCCCGAUUGCGAAGGCAGCUUACUAAACUGUGACUGACAUUGAUGCUCGAAAGUGUGGGUAUCAAACAGGAUUAGAUACCCGGGUAGUC
rnacentral:rRNA from 1 species